AUCUAACUCUCAUGGCAGCCUUGCUAGAUAGAGAGUAUUAUUAUCCCCAUUUUCCAGACAGGGACCUUGAGGCCCAGAGAGAUGAAGUAGCUUGUCUAGGGUCACGCAGCUUCCUCAGUGGGGUCGCCGUACCAGGGGCCCUGGCAGGGUCAGCUGCAAGAACAUCAAACCAGAGUGCCCAACCCUGGCCUGUGGGCAGCCGCGCCAGCUGCCGGGACACUGCUGCCAGACCUGCCCCCAGGAGCGCAGCAGUUCGGAGCGGCAGCCGAGCGGCCUGUCCUUCGAGUAUCCGCGGGACCCGGAGCAUCGCAGUUAUAGCGACCGCGGAGAGCCAGGCGCUGAGGAGCGGGCCCGUGGUGACGGCCACACGGACUUCGUGGCGCUGCUGACAGGGCCGAGGUCGCAGGCGGUGGCACGAGCCCGAGUCUCGCUGCUGCGCUCUAGCCUCCGCUUCUCCAUCUCCUACAGGCGGUGAGAAAGGGGAAGGAGCAAGGAAGGGUCAGCUGCCAGCCCGGGAGGGAAACUGGGAGAGCUGGGAGGGGCU
rnacentral:sRNA from 1 species